GGUAUAUCAAGUAACCUAUUAUCUAAUUGCAAAUUCCACUCGGAAAGUUCUUUUACUAUCUUAUCCGUUCCGUGAAGUCUUUGAUUAAAGUUCAUCAAUUUCCCAAUACGCGCUCUUGGAUUGAGACGGAUGUCAGCGGGUAAAAUUCUCUUGCCGCGAGCCGAUCCUCUUCCGCUUGACAGAACUGGUGGAGGGCCACCUGCCGCACCAGCCGCAUCUCCACUGCCACCGGCAACUGCAAAGAUAUUAAUAUCGAUAUCUCGUUUAAUAUCGAAAAAGAACAUGUUUAAAUAUAAAUUUUCAAAUAUUGAUACAAUUUUUUAAAAAAUUUUGAUUAUAUUCUAAAAAUAUCUGAAGCUAUAAAUAAUAUUCAGAGAAUGACGUGCCAUAUGCAGAAAACCAUAUAUAUGUUUUUUUGCAUCAAAAAAUUCGGCUUGUGUGCAAUAUUGUCAAAAAUGUACACAUCAAUGCAAUUUUUACACAUGAUAGUGCGGUUUGUCAUAAGUUUCAUGCCCAAAAAGAAUCAUGCUAGAGUAUCUGAGAAUUUAUUAUACAACUAAUGCAAACUGCAUUUAUUAUACAUUUGUAUUGAAGAUCUGAAAAUAAUAAUAUAAUAAAACGAA